rnacentral:rRNA from 1 species
AUACGGAGUGGCAGACGGGUGAGUAACACGUGGGAACAUACCCUUUGGUUCGGAAUAACUCAGGGAAACUUGAGCUAAUACCGGAUAAGCGCUUAGGCGGAAAGAUUUAUCGCCGAAGGAUUGGCCCGCGUCCGAUUAGCUAGUUGGUGAGGUAACGACUCACCAAGGCGACGAUCGGUAGCUGGUCUGAGAGGAUGAUCAGCCACAUUGGGACUGAGACACGGCCCAAACUCCUACGUGAGGCAGCAGUGGGGAAUAUUGGACAAUGGGCGCAAGCCUGAUCCAGCCAUGCCGCGUGAGUGAUGAAGGCCCUAGGGUUGUAAAGCUCUUUUGGGGUGGGAAGAUAAUGACUGUACCACAAGAAUAAGCCCCGGCUAACUUCGUGCCAGCAGCCGCGGAUAAUACGAAGGGGGCUAGCGUUGUUCGGAUUUACUGGGCGUAAAGCGCACGUAGGCGGAUCUUUAAGUCAGAGGUGAAAUCCCGGAGCUCAACUUCAGAACUGCCUUUGAUACUGGGGAUCUCGAGUUCGGGA